GUCCUGAUGGUGUAUUGGUUAUCACACCUGACUAGUAUACAGGGGGGACGUGGGUUCAAACCCACUCAGGGCA
rnacentral:tRNA from 1 species